GAGGGGCCCGCGCCCGAUUAGCUAGUUGGCGAGGUAAUGGCUCACCAAGGCAAUGAUCGGUAGCCGGUCUGAGAGGGUGGCCGGCCACACUGGAACUGAGACACGGUCCAGACUCCUACGGGAGGCAGCAGUGGGGAAUCUUGCGCAAUGGGCGAAAGCCUGACGCAGCGACGCCGCGUGGGGGAUGAAGCUUUUCGGAGUGUAAACCCCUUUCGACCGGGACGAAACGCCCGCAAGGGAAUUGACGGUACCGGUAGAAGAAGCCCCGGCUAACUACGUGCCAGCAGCCGCGGUAAGACGUAGGGGGCCAGCGUUGCUCGGAAUAACUGGGCGUAAAGGGUCCGUAGGCGGUGUGGCAAGUCGGGAGUGAAAUCUCUGGGCUUAACCCAGGGGCUGCUUCCGAAACUGACAAGCUAGAGUACCAAAGAGGGGGGUGGAAUUCCCGGCGUAGCGGUGAAAUGCGUAGAUAUCGGGAGG
rnacentral:rRNA from 1 species